rnacentral:tRNA from 1 species
GCGAAAGUGGCGAAAUUGGCAGACGCACCAGACUUAGGAUCUGGCGGGGUAACCCAUGGGGGUUCAAGUCCCCCUUUCGCACCA